GAUGAAGAACGUAGCGAAAUGCGAUAAGUAGUGUGAAUUGCAGAAUUCAGUGAAUCAUCGAAUCUUUGAACGCACCUUGCGCCCUUUGGCCAUUCCGAAGGGCAUGCCUGUUUGAGUAUCAUGAACACCUCAACUCUCAUGGCUCGCCAUGAUGAGCUUGGAUUUGGGGGUCUUGCUGGCCUGUGGUCGGCUCCUCUCAAAUGGAUCAGCUUGCCAGUGUUUGGUGGCAUCACAGGUGUGAUAACUAUCUGCGCUUGUGGUUUUCCAUCAGAUAACCUUCAGUGAUGGAGGUUCGCUGGAGCUCAUAAACGUCUCCCCUAAGCGGGGACAGCCCUUUGAAUGUUUGAUCUCAAAUCAGGUAGGACUACCCGCUGAACUUAAGCAUAUCAAUAAGCGGAGGA
rnacentral:misc_RNA from 1 species